UACGAGGGGGGCGAGCGUUGUUCGGAAUUAUUGGGCGUAAAGGGCGCGUAGGCGGUGCGGUAAGUCACCUGUGAAACCUCUAGGCUUAACCUAGAGCCUGCAGGCGAAACUGCCGUGCUGGAGUGUGGGAGAGGUGCGUGGAAUUCCCGGUGUAGCGGUGAAAUGCGUAGAUAUCUGGAGGAACACCGGUGGCGAAGGCGGCGUUCUGGACUGUAACUGACACUGAAAAACGAAAGCCAGGGGAGCAAACGGG
rnacentral:rRNA from 1 species